CAUAGACCUUUCCCACUUGGCUGGUUUUUCGGUGGAUGGUCCACAUUCACCAUUCCACACAUACAGCAAGUAUGAAGUAAUCAUGAUGCAAACUGACUUUGAUCUAAACUAUUUGUAGUACACACAAGAAUUUCGUGGUGUCUCCUGAGAAUAUAUCAUGUCUUCCAGUCCAGGUAAUAAACAUUUAAUAGGUGAUCAUUAACAAACUGGGCUUUUUAUAGGCUCAUAAUAGAUAUGUUAAGUUGCUAACUUUUAAUGCCCUGGAAAUCCAAAUAAUCUGCGUUCUCCUGAAAAGGCUGUGGAUUUAGCUGAGUAUCCAGAAAAAUGGUCAUUCGAAUCGUAGGUAAUCUCAAUCGGAUUUAAAGCGAUAUUCAUUUAAUAGUGGUUUUUCAAAAACUUUUAAAAAUUUGCGAGUGUGGUCGGGAAGCAUCAGCGCACCAAGGAGAUAGCACACAUCAAAUGCACUUGCACUAGUUAAACAAGGAUACGUUAUCCCAUAUAAAACGAAUGUUGUCUCCAACUUCAACGGUUUCCUGAUUGCUGAUUGAAGUCGAUUGAUAAAAAAUGUUAGGACACUCGGACGGUUGCUGCUCGGGAGGCAAAGUUGUUUUCGACAUCGAGAGGAGACUGGAGGAACAGACUCAGAAUUGAAGAAUGAACGUUGAGAUGCGUCCGCGGUACUAUUCUGGCAUUUGCACUCUAUGUAUCAUCGUUAACGUUAGAAGGGUUAUUAACACUUUUGCAUAGUUACUUUAAUCUGUUGAAGACGAAUAAUUCAGUUGUGUAGUGAUCAUAGCUUAAUGGUAGAGCGUCUGAUUGCUACGCUGAAGUCUCUGGGUUCAAGUCCUAGAAUUAUGAGAUGGAAGGUACAGAAGAAGCUCUAAUACAAAUA